ACCCAGUGUCCUCUUGUCAAAGAGUUAGAAGAGCCUAAGAGGUAUUACCCAGCUGCUAUAAACUAAAGAUGAUCAAUCAGUAAUCAGUGAUUUGGCUGGAGGAAGAGGGAGAUAGUAAUUAAGAGUUUGAUUUUGAGUAGGCUCAGUUGGAGGUGAGCUAUAGGACAUUCUAGUGAUAAGCAACCACAGACACAAGACUGGAGCCAGGGCCACAGAUUUAGACUUGAGGGCUACUAUUGCCACGGGAAUAGAAUGAGAGGAUUAGACCCAGCCUCUUAGGUCCCUUCCUUCCUGCUCUAGAUCUGAGACUAUGAUUGCUUUUGAUUUUUACAUCUACCCUAUGAGUGGUUAUAAGGAGCUCCUAGUGCAAACUCUACCAGUGGAAGUCUACACCUAUGUUACAAUUGUUACACAAUGUUACAAUUGAGGAGCUGCUUGGCACACCAAGAUGCUAAGUGAUUUGCCAAGAAUUACACAAUAAAUGAAUCAGAAGCAAGAUUCA
rnacentral:lncRNA from 1 species